rnacentral:rRNA from 1 species
ACGCGGCGGCAGGCUCAUACAUGCAAGUCGAACGAGAAAGUAUCUUCGGAUACGAGUACAGUGGCGGACGGGUGAGUAUACAUAGGAAUCUACCCAAUGGAGGGGGAUAGCUCGAGGAAACUCGAAUUAAUACCGCAUAAUCUCCACGGAGUAAAGAGGGCUUCGGCUCUCGCCAUCGGAUGAGCCUAUGCACGGAUUAGCUUGUAGGUGAGGUAAAGGCUCACCAAGGCAACGAUCCUUAGCUGGUUUGAGAGGAUGACCAGCCACAUCGGGACUGAGACACGGCCCGGACUUCUACGGAAGGCAGCAGUACGGGAAUAUUGGACAAUGGGCGAAAGCUUGAUCCAGCCAUGCCGCGUGUGCGAUGACGGCCCUCGGGUUGUCAAAGCACUUUAGGUAACGAGGAAAAGUUAGGUGUUAAUACCAUCUAACCUUGACGUUAAUUACAGAAUAAGCACCGGCUAAAAUCCGAGCCACGCAGCCGCAGGUAAUACGGAUGGUAGCAAGCGUUAAUCGGAAUUACUGGGCGUAAAGCGCGCGUACGGUGCGCAUAUUAAGUUAGAUGUGAAAUCCCGAGGCUUAACCUCAGGAACUGCAUCUAAAACUAAUCAGACUAACAGUACUAGAGAGG